rnacentral:rRNA from 1 species
UACGUAGGGGCCUAGCGUUGUCCGGAAUUAUUGGGCGUAAAGAGCUCGUAGGCGGUUCGGCAAGUCGGAUGUGAAAUCUCCACGCUUAACGUGGAGGGGCCAUUCGAAACUGCUGUGACUCGAGUCCGGUAGGGGAGUGUGGAAUUCCCGGUGUAGCGGUGAAAUGCGCAGAUAUCGGGAGGAACACCAGUAGCGAAGGCGGCACUCUGGGCCGGAACUGACGCUGAGAGACGAAAGCUAGGGGAGCGAAUGGG